CAGGAGCGCAUGUCCUGGUUCAGGGUGAUGCACUCGGUGCCGUCGUAGGCGAACUGACUGAACCCUCGGAGCAAGUUACCCUCGGACCCCACUACGCAGCCGGUCAUUUCCUGGAAGGUGUGAGACACUGACGCAGCCCAAGUGGGCGCGCAGCUUGUUCAGGUUCGCUCUGCUCCGCUGUUCGUUGUGCUUCAUCUCCCGCGUCUGCUCCUCCCAAAAUUUUGCGCCUUCCUGCUCCAUCCACGGCUGCUCCAGCCACUGCACCCGUGGCUCCAGCCUCUGCUUCUCGGGGUCGCUGUCGAACCGCAAGACCUCCGUGUCGUCCAGGUAGAUGACGACGACGUACCGGUUCUUCCCGCGGCCGGGUCCGGACGUGGAGAGGCUGUUCCCUCCCGACCCCGCACUCACGGGUCCAUUUCUGGGUCAGCGCCAGAGUCCCGGACAGCAGCAGCAGGAGGAGAAGGAGAAGGAGGGCUCCGGGCCCCAUGACAGCAGCAGCAGGAAAAGAAGGAAGGGUCCGGGCCCCAUGACGCAGACCAACGGUCUGGAAGGGUCCUGGUCACCUUAUCCGCUCUGGCGCUGAUUGGCUAGUUCGGACAUCCAAUGGGAGAAGUGUCCCGCUCUCUGCACCUGAUACCACUUGAACUCGGUGUGAUCACCUUAACCCUGCACCUGUUACCCUCUUCGCAGCAUGAAGACAGUUGUGUUGUGCUGACUGACCACCUACUGGUUUCUAGGAGUGAUGUACAGGAAUCUCCUAUUAAUACUGCUGCUUUAACUUGGUUACAGAGGGAUCUUAUCUGAGAGAUGAGCAGGGACAUUACUGAGAGGGACAUGCAGUAACUUCCCUGGUGGACAUAAUUGAGAGCUCUCACUGACUGGAAAUGAAAUCUGCCCAGCAUGCUGAACUCACUGCUCUAACUCCGGCUUGUCACCUGGACGAAGAUCCAGUAGCCAAUGUUUACCCUGAGAGUCGUGUGUACCUGGUGUAUCUGUGACUGUGGAUGAUGGGGAAGUGGGGAGGCCUCCUCACUUCCUCAGGGCAGCCCACAAACAAAUGGAAGACUGGUUGGAGAAUUAUUAGACGCCACACAGGACCCAAAACGAUGGGCCAUUGUCAAAAUUCUGGGGCAUUCCACUGCCACCAUGGAAGGGAAAGGAAGUCAUUUUGCUGAUACUGUAGCUGGGCAGGUGGCUUUGCACAGACAAAUGCAGGCCCAAAAAUGUUCCCUGAAUUCUAUUAAGUCAAUAAGGGAUUAUCUUUUACAGUUUCAACAGACAGCUAAGGAGGGGGAAAGGAGAAUAUGCAACGAAAAGAGGGAAACAUUGACCCAGACAGAGAAAUGUGGGUUGGACCCAGUCACAACCUAUCUUACCUGUAGGGGCCCGACUCCCUGCACUUGAACCUGUACAUGACCCCUGUACACUGGGGUCCUGGGAAGUUGGUUUCAUGGAGGGAACGAUGUCACUGGAGACCUUCUGCUGUAGCUCAUGAGGAGGACAGCAGAUGUCCUAUCUGUCCAAAGUGCAGCCCAGGGACCCACUCCCUGGGUCCCAAGGACAUUUCCCACUCCUGUGGGUCCACGUGAUGUUUGGUAUUUCAUCCAUAUUGCCACCGUGUCAGGGACACAAAUGUACAUGAGUGAUGACUUGUAUGUUUUCUCACUGGGUUGAGGUGUUGCCUUGCAGGAGAGUGGCAGCCUUAACAACUGGCAAUUCUUGUUAGAAAGAAUAACUUUUCAACAGGGGAAUUCCCUCUGAGUUAUAUCAUGACUGAGGACUCAUUUCACUGGGCAAGCCACAAAAUCCACCUGCAACCUUUGGCCCCUUCUGCAGCACUUUCGCUGUGCCCCUCACCCCCGCCCUCUGGACUGGGGGACAAACCAAUGGGACAUCAAAAUUCAACUGGACAGAACUUCAGAAGCCUUCACUCUGCCCUGGACAGAAGCUCUCCCUAGAGUGCAACUCAACCUGAGAGCCACACCCUUUGGUGAACGUGAACCUUCUCCUUCGGGAUUGGUCUCUGGCCGCCCUGUGCAUCUGGAUGAAGGGGCACAGAGAACAAUUUUGCUGAAAGGAGACCUUCUACACCACUUUCAGGGACUUAUUAACCAGCUUAAAAACACUGAUAAAUUAUUAACCAAUUCAUUUCACGCUGUCCUCCCAGGAGACACAGAUUUCAAAGAUCAUGGCUUACAACCUGGAGAUUUGGUCUGUUGGAAGAGACAUCAAAUAAAGGACUCUCUCCAGCCUCAUUGGAGGGACCUUACCAGGUACUACUAACUAACCCACGUGCAGCCCAACUCAAAGGAGUUAACUCCUGGGUUCACAUUUCUCAUUUUAAAAAGGCGCCUGAUAGUUCAUGGAGAUCUGCCCUUUCCCUUACACUCGCCUCCACCUACCCUGGGGAUCAAGGACUUUUCAAGGGCAAGAAGCCACCGACCAGGCAAGCAGACAGCUGUCCCAGCACAGCAAUGGGGCCUGUAGGCUCACAAAUUGAUGCUGCUGUUGACGGAAUGCACAUAAGAUGAAUUUGUAUUGUUAUUAUCCUCCUCAUGGCUUCCUCAUGGAAACAGUGCCAUCUAUCCAGACCCGCUUUCUUCUUAGACACAGAAAACUUAACUUGGGUACCUGCUCAUCUUUUCCACCUACUAGACAAUGGUAUUGUAAUUAUUCGUUAUGAUAAUGAAGUUAAUGCUUUGUUGCCCACACAUUGGGCUUCUCCUUCUAUCAUUAUAAGCUUUGGUACAUUUUUCCUGUAUAUGUCUUUCAUAAAGGACCCAUCUAGGGGAAAUUCCUCCAAGAACACGUCCCUGAUAAUUCCCCUGCUGGAAUCACAUAUGGACCCACCACCUAGGUGAGUGUUGUGUAGCUACAGCAACGGGUGAUGAAGAGCUAACAGAAACACCUGCAUGUGGUGGGAAAGGCUGGCAGUGACUGACUCUCUCUGUCACAGUGUGUCUGGUCCUUGGACUCACCAGCCUUGUGCCUGUGGCUGCAUGUCUGUGAAACAAGAAAAAAAUCAAUGGCUCCCCAUUUCAAAAAUUAUUGUUAUGACUUGUUGGGCAGCUAUAUCUGUAAAUACCCCACUCUCCUGAGUCCUGGACACUUGUGGGAAGCUUUAUGGAACAUUCAAACUCUAGUUCAUUUUGGGGUUACCUCUAUCCAUUUAACUGUGGGUGGGAAACUCAACAGUUCUGGGCGUAUUCAGUGCACCCCAGCUGCUCCCUGGCCAUGGCUGCCCAAUGGCAACAACAUCCCUGGUGGAUCCAACCCUACUCGCCCUCUAAAGGAAAUAAAAGAGGGUACUUGGAGGAUGAGGGGCUGGCCUUGGUGUUCUGGGAGAAGCUGAACUUGAAGUCAAUGAAGAACGUCAUUCGUUAGAAAAAGACCCUUUACCUAAAGUGUGUCCUGUAGAGGGAGUGCUGUUCCUGAAGCAGGAAAAGCGUGGGAAGCGGCACAGAAGGACAGUGAGGCCUGAGCUCCAUGGAUGGACAGACUGGACAGACUAUAGAAACUCAGGCCCAGACCCAGCAGUGGGACCUGCCUGCACCCGAACUCCACAGGCCUGUUGUCAGAGCUGAGGCAGACACAGUUUGAAGUGGCUAGGAAACCGUGGCCCCUGGAAUGGGUGCAAGAGUCCAGGCCAGACAGUCAUGGGACUCAUAUGGUCCCCUUGGAUUUUGGAAAAUUUGGAUGGGAAAGGCAAGCUACCAUGUAGUGUGUUAAAAGCCCAGGCACGUUGGUGAGGUGCUCAGCUCAGGUCCUCAGUAUUCCACAGCUGGCCUAGGGACCAUCCUCGCCAACACGGGAUACUUCCUGCAGGAUGUAAUGUACCACGUUUAUUAAAAUAAAUAAUGGGGACCCAUCUCACUGUGUAAUUGUAAACAUUGAGAAGGUAAUAGUCACGCCCCAAUUUAUAGGGAAUACUGAAUUUACCCAGUCUGGGCCUGUUGUUUCUUCCCCAGCAAAUACCAGUAUCUGGUAUAUGGAAAAGGGUUGUUUUUGUUGGGAGGGAUAUAGGAUUCUGUUAUACUAAGUGAUUUUUAUUGUAAUAACACCCUCUUUAUGUUAAAUACUACUGGAAUGUGGUGUAACACUAAAAGUAUAGGCAAAAUAACUUUGCCUGAGGUUAAUAAAAUUUAUGA